rnacentral:rRNA from 1 species
CCUACGGGAGGCUGCAGUGAGGAAUAUUGGUCAUUGGGCGCGAGCCUGAACCAGCCAAGUCGCGUGAGGGAGGACGGCCCUACGGGUUGUAAACCUCUUUUGUCGGGGAGCAACGGGCGUCACGUGUGGCGCCACUGAGAGUCCCCGGAGAAAAAGCAUCGCCAAACUCGGUGCCAGCAGCCGCGGGAAUACGGAGGAUGCGAGCGUUAUCCGGAGUGAUUGGUUUAAAGGGGUGCGUAGGCGGAAUGCCAAGUCAGCGGGAAAAUCGCGGGGCUCAACCUCGCUCCGCAGUUGAAACUGGCGUUCUUGAGUGGGCGAGAAGUAUGCGGAAUGCGUGGUGUAGCGGUGAAAUGCAUAAAUAUCACGAAGAACUCCGAUUGCGAAGGCAGCAUACCGGCGCCCAACUGACGCUGAAGCACGAAAGCGUGGGUAUCGAACAGGAUUAGAUACCCCAGUAGUC